rnacentral:misc_RNA from 1 species
GGAAGUAAAAGUCGUAACAAGGUUUCCGUAGGUGAACCUGCGGAAGGAUCAUUAAAUAAAAAUCCAAAUUUGAGAUGAAAUAUUCUCUAAUUUACUGUGAAUUAGUACCAAUUUUUUGUGGCGCUUGAAGGGAUGCUUGUAUGUUAUAAUGGGUAGGCAUACAAGAUGUUAACUGAUAGCCACGAGUCAGACUUUUAUAUAUAGGUCUGGUACCCAAGUUAUACACAUUUUUUUCGGAUAUUUUAAUAAAAUUUUUAACAUAGACCUUAAAAAAGUCUAUAAAACAACUUUUAACAACGGAUCUCUUGGUUCUCGCAUCGAUGAAGAACGUAGCAAAGUGCGAUAACUAGUGUGAAUUGCAUAUUUAGUGAAUCAUCGAGUCUUUGAACGCAACUUGCAGCCGAUGGUAUUCCGUCGGUUAUGCCUGUUUCAGUAUCAAAACCAACCCACAUAUAAAAAUUUUUUUUUUAUAUGGAUUUGAGAGUGUUUAUUAUUUAAAACUCUUUAAAUAAAAGUUGGCCCAAGUUUUGUUUUAUUUUGGCCUAAAACUUUUUUUUUUAAUACAAGAGAAAAAGUUUUUGUUCAAGUAAAAACAUUUUUAGACUUUGGGGCCGCCCAAAUAAUACUCAUUUUUUUCAAAUCUUGAUCUGAGUCAGGUAAGAGUACCCGCUGAACUUAAGCAUAUCAAUAAGCGGAGGA